GUUGUAUGGUUAAGUGACUAAGCGUACAUGGUGGAUGCCUUGGCAGUCAGAGGCGAUGAAGGACGUACUAACCUGCGAUAAGCUGUGAGAAGUCGGUAAGAGACGCUAUUACUCACAGAUUUCCGAAUGGGGAAACCCACCCAAGAUAACUUGGGUAUCGUUACAUGAAUACAUAGUGUAACGAGGCGAACCGGGAGAACUGAAACAUCUAAGUACCCCGAGGAAAAGAAAUCAACCGAGAUUCCCUCAGUAGCGGCGAGCGAACGGGGAUUAGCCCUUAAGUUUCUUGGAAGUUAGUGGAAUGGUCCUGGAAAGGCCAGCGAUACAGGGUGAUAGCCCCGUACAUGAAAACGACCUUGAAGUGAAAUCGAGUAGGGCGGGACACGUGACAUCCUGUCUGAAUAUGGGGGGACCAUCCUCCAAGGCUAAAUACUCCUGACUGACCGAUAGUGAACCAGUACCGUGAGGGAAAGGCGAAAAGAACCCCUGUGAGGGGAGUGAAAUAGAACCUGAAACCGUGUACGUACAAGCAGUGGGAGCUCUUCGGGGUGACUGCGUACCAUUAUUGUAUAAUGGGUCAGCGACUUACAUUUUGUAGCGAGGUUAACCGUAUAGGGGAGCCGUAGGGAAACCGAGUCUUAACUGGGCGUCUAGUUGCAAGGUGUAGACCCGAAACCGGGUGAUCUAGCCAUGGGCAGGUUGAAGGUUGAGUAACAUCAACUGGAGGACCGAACCCACUAACGUUGCAAAGUUAGGGGAUGACCUGUGGCUGGGGGUGAAAGGCCAAUCAAACUCGGAGAUAGCUGGUUCUCCCCGAAAGCUAUUUAGGUAGCGCCUCGGACGAAUACUACUGGGGGUAGAGCACUGUUUGGACUAGGGGGUCAUCUCGACUUACCAACUCCAUGCAAACUCCGAAUACCAGUAAGUAAUAUCCGGGAGACACACGGCGGGUGCUAACGUCCGUCGUGAAGAGGGAAACAACCCAGACCGCCGGCUAAGGUCCCAAAGUUCUGGUUAAGUGGGAAACGAUGUGGGAAGGCUCAGACAGCUAGGAUGUUGGCUUAGAAGCAGCCAUCAUUUAAAGAAAGCGUAAUAGCUCACUAGUCGAGUCGGCCUGCGCGGAAGAUGUAACGGGGCUCAAACCAGGCACCGAAGCCGCGGAUUCACACUUAUGUGUGAGUGGUAGGGGAGCGUUCUGUAAGUCUGCGAAGGUGUAUCGAGAGGUAUGCUGGAGAUAUCAGAAGUGCGAAUGCUGACGUAAGUAACGAUAAAGGGGGUGAAAAGCCUCCUCGCCGGAAGACCAAGGGUUCCUGUCCAACGUUAAUCGGGGCAGGGUGAGUCGACCCCUAAGGUGAGGCCGAAAGGCGUAAUCGAUGGGAAGCAGGUUAAUAUUCCUGCACGACUUGUAAUUGCGAUGGGGGGACGGAGAAGGCUAGGUGGGCCAGGCGACGGUUGUCCUGGUGAAAGUGCGUAGGUGGUGUUUCUAGGCAAAUCCGGAGACACAACACUGAGACACGAGACGAAGCCACUACGGUGGUGAAGCCAUUGAUGCCCUGCUUCCAGGAAAAGCCUCUAAGCUUCAGAUUACAAGUCAUCGUACCCCAAACCGACACAGGUGGUCGGGUAGAGAAUACCAAGGCGCUUGAGAGAACUUGGGUGAAGGAACUAGGCAAAAUAGAACCGUAACUUCGGGAGAAGGUUCGCUCUUGACAGUGAAGUCCCUUGCGGAUGGAGCAGUUGGGAGUCGCAGUGACCAGAUGGCUGGGACUGUUUAUCAAAAACACAGCACUCUGCAAACACGAAAGUGGACGUAUAGGGUGUGACACCUGCCCGGUGCCGGAAGGUUAAUUGAUGGGGUUAGCGCAAGCGAAGCUCUUGAUCGAAGCCCCGGUAAACGGCGGCCGUAACUAUAACGGUCCUAAGGUAGCGAAAUUCCUUGUCGGGUAAGUUCCGACCUGCACGAAUGGUGUAACCAUGGCCAUGCUGUCUCCACCCGAGACUCAGUGAAAUCGAAUUCGCCGUGAAGAUGCGGUGUACCCGCGGCUAGACGGAAAGACCCCGUGAACCUUUACUACAGCUUGGCACUGAACAUUGAACCUACAUGUGUAGGAUAGGUGGGAGGCUUUGAAGGCGUGACGCCAGUUGCGCUGGAGCCGUCCUUGAAAUACCACCCUUGUAUGUUUGAUGUUCUAACGCAGGGCCCUGAAUCGGGCUCGCGGACAGUGCCUGGUGGGUAGUUUGACUGGGGCGGUCUCCUCCCAAAGAGUAACGGAGGAGCACGAAGGUUGGCUAAUCCUGGUCGGACAUCAGGAGGUUAGUGCAAUGGCAUAAGCCAGCUUAACUGCGAGACGGACAGGUCGAGCAGGUACGAAAGUAGGUCAUAGUGAUCCGGUGGUUCUGAAUGGAAGGGCCAUCGCUCAACGGAUAAAAGGUACUCCGGGGAUAACAGGCUGAUACCGCCCAAGAGUUCAUAUCGACGGCGGUGUUUGGCACCUCGAUGUCGGCUCAUCACAUCCUGGGGCUGAAGUCGGUCCCAAGGGUAUGGCUGUUCGCCAUUUAAAGUGGUACGCGAGCUGGGUUCAGAACGUCGUGAGACAGUUCGGUCCCUAUCUGCCGUGGGCGUUGGAUGAUUGAAGGGAGUUGCUCCUAGUACGAGAGGACCGGAGUGAACGAACCUCUGGUGUUCGGGUUGUCACGCCAGUGGCACUGCUCGGUAGCUAAGUUCGGAAUCGAUAACCGCUGAAAGCAUCUAAGCGGGAAGCGAGCCCUGAGAUGAGUCAUCCCUGACCCCUUGAGGGUCCUAAAGGGCCGUUGGAGACCACAACGUUGAUAGGUGGGGUGUGUAAGCGCAGUGAUGUGUUGAGCUAACCCAUACUAAUUACCCGUGAGGCUUAACCAUACAACACCCAAGAAGUGUUCU
rnacentral:rRNA from 1 species